rnacentral:lncRNA from 1 species
UUUUCUUAAUUUUUAUUAGUAUUUCAUAUUUCUUCAUUUUUCAAGGUUUCCUAGUUCUCUGGGUCACUGUCCCCUGGGCAGGCUAGAGUUGAUUAGUGUUGUUCUUACUAGGUGGGGGCCCCUAGAUCUGAACACCGUUUCCACUGUCAUCUGACCAGUCCAUAUCCUCAUUUGAAUAAUGUGCUUCUAGCGAUGCAGACUAACUGUAAUUAUGAAAAUAGUUAACCCUUAUUGAAUUUGUUUAUGUACCAGGCCCUGUGCCAAGCGCUUUCUGGAAGAACCACAUGUGAAAGGUAUUUUUGUAUCUUUUUUUGUACAUGAAUCAUUGGAAGCUUAAAGAAGUUGGUUAACUUGGCCAAGGACACAGUGAUCCAAGCCCAGGGCACUUGGCCAUGAGGAUGUAUUAUAUUUCCUUCCCUUUGCACCCACCUAUGACACACGUCUGACCAUUUAAGCCUUUGGCUUCAGCAAGAUGGAAAGCAAUUUGUCUUCUCCUAAAGAUCAAAGCCUGCUCUGACCCUGUGGGAAAUACACUUACCAUUUACCCAGACAAUUACUUUCCCCAGGUUCCAGGAGGUGCCAAAUCUCCCCUUUUUCUCCUUCCAGACAAUCACAGCCCUCAUUAAGCCCUUCCUGUUUGCACUCUCAUUUCCUACAUAAAUUCCUAUCAAGGUUACCAGCCCUCCCCAGUUUAUUCCUUUCUCUCUUUCCCAGCCAUGGCCUCUCAGCCACCAGUCACCUCUUCCCCCAACCCCCUGACCUCCCACUUCUCUUCUCAAUUCAACUGCUCUUCAGGAUUUCUGGUUGCACUACCUCUGGAGACAAGACUCUAGCAUUUGUUCUUAGUUACCUGACCCUCAGGAAGAUUUAGGCUUUUUUUUUUUCUCCCAUCUCACCUUGUAUAAAUAUGUCUUCUCAGUAUAGUAAUGUCAUUGGAUUGAGGAUACUUGUUUGCAGAGGAGGCAAGAAUGCGUUGUUCCGUUUUUGAAUUCCACACAUCUAAUAUGGAGCCUGAGCCACAGGGCUCAAAAUGUUAAGUAAACAAAUGAAUGGGAAAUUAAUAAGAAGAAUGCAUUGGCAAGACCGUGAAGAAGGCCUGCCAUGGGAAGCUUUGGGAAGAAGCCAGCUGCCAUGUUGUGAGAACUCUCAAGCAGCUGUGUGGAGAGAUCCAUGUGGUGAGGAACUGAAGCCUCCUACCCACCAUCAAGUCAGUGGCUCACUACUGUUGCAGUGAAUUCUCCAGCCCAUGAAGACUUUAGAUGAUUUACCCAACAUCUUGAUUAUAGCCUCAUGGAUUCCCUGAGCCAGAACAACCCAGCUAAGCCUCUCCUGAAUUCCUUACCUACAGAAACUGUGAGAUAAUAAAUAUUUAUUCUUUUAAGCCAUCAAAUUUUGGGUAAUUUAUUAUGCAGUAAUAUGUAACUAAUAUAGAUAAAAAUAUUCAGUUUGAAGGAAAGAAGAAAAAUAACUUACAAUAAACUCAAGAAAUAAAAUAAAAU